GCCAGUUUCGGGUAGCGACAAUAUUUUACUAUUUAAACAUUUUCAGGGUUAUGUCAAUGAUGCCUUAAAGCAUUCUAUACGGUGCUGUAUAGCAUCGUUUACAUAACCCUGAAAAUGUUUAAAAUACUCGUUAUGGCAAUUUUAUCCUGGGCGACAAUUUACUGAUAUCGCCAGACUGUCCAGUUUCUUCAUUCUGUUAACUUGCGCAUUUUCUAACUUGAUGUUAUAUAAAGUUCCUUGAAUGUUUGCAUGCCCGGGGGUAUUUACCCCAUCGUUCAUGACUAUUAAAGUCAAUGUUCGUAUUUCGGUCGCAAACUUUCACAAUCGAUGGAAUUAUUUGGUCAUCAAAAUUAUGACCUGACGUGUCCUCGUACCAUCGUUCUUCUUGCUCAAUUAACUGGACGUUUAUAUUGAUCACAUUAGCCAUCCAAGCAAUACAGUCCAUGGCAUGGUCGAAGAUCCACCGGUCGGCCCCAGGUGACGGAAGGCUCCGGGUUCGGAAAACUUGAGUUCGGCAUAUAAAAACCCUCUAUAAAACCCUAUAACCCUCUAACCCUAAAAUAUGAUUCCAGGACUUUUGAAACAACUAUACACUGUAC